rnacentral:rRNA from 1 species
CGGUUGAUCCUGCCGGAGGACAUUGCUAUUGGGAUUCGAUUUAGCCAAGCUAGUCGUACGAGUUCAGACUCGUGGCGAAUAGCUCAGUAACACGUGGCCAAACUACCCUUCGGAGCUCCAUACCCUCGGGAAACUGAGGUUAAUAGAGCAUCUCACACCACCACUGGAAUGAGUCGUGUGACAAACGCUCCGGCGCCGAGGGAUGUGGCUGCGGCCGAUUAGGUAGACGGUGGGGUAACGGCCCACCGUGCCAAUAAUCGGUAUGGGUCAUGAGAGUGAAAACCCAGAGACGGAAUCUGAGACAAGAUUCCGGGCCCUACGGGGCGCAGCAGGCGCGAAACCUUUACACUGCACGACAGUGCGAUAGGGGGAUCCCAAGUGCACAGGCAUAGCGCCUGUGCUUUUCGACACCCUAAGGCGGUGUCAGAAUAAGGGCUGGGCAAGACCGGUGCCGGCCGCCGCGGUAAUACCGGCAGCCCAAGUGAUGGCCGAUCUUAUGGGGCCUAAAGCGUCCGUAGCUGGCCGCGCAAGUCCAUCGGGAAAUCCACCUGCUCAACAGGUGGGCGCCCGGUAGAAACUGCGUGGCUUGGGACCGGAAGGCGCGACGGGUACGUCCGGGGUAGGAGUGAAAUCCCGUAAUCCUGGACGGACCGCCGAUGGCGAAAGCACGUCGCGAGAACGGAUCCGACAGUGAGGGACGAAAGCCAGGGUCUCGAACCGGAUUAGAUACCCCGGUAGUC